GCCAAUAUGGUAUAGUGGUUUGAGUACUGGACUAGGACUCUGGAGACCAGGGUUCAAAUCCCAGCUCAGCCA